UCCUCUCUCUCUCUCUCUCCUCCCUCCCAUCUCUCUUUUCUCUCUCGAUCUCUCUUCUAUUCCUCCCCCUUUCUUCUUCUUCUCCUUCCUCCGAUCUCUCUCGGCUUCUUCUUCUUCUUCUUCUUCUUUUGGUUCCUCUCGGUUUUUUUUAUUUUAUUUAUUUUUUCGAUUUGUUCACUGUUCUUCUUCUUUUUAUCUUAUUUCUUUCAUUUUUUUAUUUACUCACUCAAUAUUACUUUUCUUUUGCAGGUUUGAUCUACAUGAAAGCUUUACCCUCGUAUACAUUUUAAGAACACCAAAGAUAAGUUUCUCUUCUCCCUUCUUUCUCUUUAUUUUCUUGCAAACCAAACAUUUAAAUUUUUUUUUUUUACAUUAUUUUUUUUGCUAGACUGUACUAAACUCAAUGGGUUGGUUCAAGUUGACUCGGGUGAGUCAACCACUGGGUUGGCUUUAGAUUGACUCAGUGGGUCAACCCACUGAGUCUUGGUGGGUUGGGUUUGUGUGGGCUCAGUUUUGAAUGUAUGGGUUUUGAUUGGGUUUUGGGCUUCGACCCACUACUGGGCUUUUAAACCAUGCUGGGCUUAAGCCCAUUGUUGGUUUUAAAAUGAGGUUGGGCUCAUGCCCAAGGUGGAUUUUAAAAUAGGAUUUGGGCUCAGGCCCACUGGGGAUUUUUUUUAAAUGGAGCUAGGAUGGGGUUUUAAUGGACCCAUAUCCAAAUUGGAUUUGGGUCUUGGGUCUGCAGGUCCCUGAGUCAAACAGAUCAACCCGGCUAAAUGGAUCGGGUUACUGGGCCCUUAAAGUGGGUCAGGUCACUGGAUGGUUCGGGUCACUAGAUCUAAUUUAGAUCGAGUAAGAUUCUUUAUACAGUCUAUUUUUAUAUAAAUUAAACACUGGAAAAUUAAAUUAAAACUAAGACCUACUUCUAGUCUUCAAACUCCUCCAACUUUGAACUUAAACCCGAUGCCCCCUUUUGGAUUAUAUGAUGCUCUGUGAAUGCUUUGUGAAUUGUUUUAUCUUGUCUAUUUGUUUGAACUCCUCUCUGUGCUUUUCUUUCCAAAAUUCCCACACAGCUUGUAUGUGAAUUCCUUUACAAUUCUCACUUUUUUUAGAUAAUAUCCUAUAUAUUUAAGUAGUAUUUUAGAUAAGGGGUACUUUAGUCUUCGUAUCAUUAUAGGGUUAGGUUUAUUCAUUAGUUCUAAUUGAAUUCAAUAAUGUAAUUAGGCUUGCCUCUUGUGCAGCAACUCUCUCUCUUUGCAAUUGAAUAUCUUCCUAUCUAUUUUUCUCUCUCUUUCUUUACAUUGGAUUAUGAAUGUUAUCAUAGUAUCAAAGCACCCAAUCUUCUUCGGGAGAAGUAAAUUGCGAAUAUCCGCUGCUACGUAUUCAAUUAAGGACGGCGGUGAGAUAGACUGGAGCUGUAGAGACCCGGUGAAUUAUAGCAAUUAAAUAAUAAAAGAAAUGACAGGAAAAUGAGGUUUUAAAGGGGGUCAUAGCAGAUCCUCGUCGACGAAGCGACUUAUUGGGAUCGUCAACGGGGACACGUGUCUCAUCGACGAGUAAUUACCGAGAGGGCUAUUUGAGGGUCUAAAAUUUGUCGAUAAAGGUUAUGAGUACAUCGACGAACUCCCAUCUUGGCUUCAUCAAUGAAAUGACCUGUCUUGUUGAUGAAGUCAGUGUUAUAAAUGGCUCAAACUCGGGUUUUCAGUGAGAAAACCUGUAUGCAAACCCUCCUCUCUUUCUCUCUCUCUUUGUCCUCCACCCCUUCUCUCUAAGUUUUUGGGCCCAUUUUUCGCCGGUUCAACGAUCCAAAACUGACACGCUACUCUUGGGAAGAUUUUCUCCAUAUUAGCUGGAGUGGAUUGUUGAUUAGGCCUACUUGGAAACCAUCCCAAAAUUUAGGUAAGUUAGUUAAUUUCAGUUUUAUUGAGGUAUUUGGUAUUUCUAGACUGAGGAAAGGUAUUAGAUGAAUUUAUACUGAAAUUUUGUUGGGGGAAAUAUUAAUUUCAGGGUGUUGUGUAGGGAACACUCCAGGUGUAGGAUUGGUUGUUUUAAGGGCUUUUCAGUAAGCCAAGUAAGGGGAUAAACUAAGUAAGUUUCUUAUGAAAAUCAAUUUAUUAUUUUACAACAUUUAUUUUCAAGAAAAUAAGUAUAUUGUAGAAUUAUGUUGGAAAUAAUGUUGUUGAUCAGUAAUAUGGUUUUCGUGUAUAAUAUCAGAAACAUGAUUUUAGAACAGAUGUUAUGUUAUGAAUAUUACCCCUUUUUGUGUGACAUAAGUAACAUUUACCAAGGAAAUGACGAUGAUGAAAUAUUAUGUUUAUAAAAUAAGCAUGUUAUUACUGUUUUCAAGAAAAUAUUAAAAUGAUACAGGGAUUUUCAAACUAAGGAUUUUAUAUGAUAUGUCGGCGUAAGGGUCGUGGAUUUUAUAUGACAUAUCGGCGUAAGGGCCGUGGAUUUUAUAUGAUAUGCUGAUGUAAGGGUUGAGGAUUUUAUAUGAUAUGCCGACGUAAAGGUCAUGGUUUUAUAUGAUAUGUUAUGCCGAAGUAAGGGCUGUGAAUUUUAUAUGAUAUGUUAUGCAAGGUUUUAUGAAAAUAUUCACAUGAUAGAUAUUAUUAUGAAAUAGCCAUGUAUCAUUAUUUAGAAAUAUACUAUAUGUUAUCAGAACCUGGUUGACUUGGUUUAGGCUUCCACAAAACACAGUACCAUAGCUAUAUGAUCACGAUCAUGUAUAUGUUAGUACUACCACUUGUCGUAAGGGGCAGUGGGAGAACGGCAGUCGAUGUGGUUUUAUGGUAGUGCAGGCGUCCCUCUGGUGUCUGGAACAAAAGGGGCAGACCCAUCAUACUUACAGACUUAUGUUGAUCUAGCGUGGUUGGCCAGCCAUUGCUAGGUCCCAUCUUUGGGCCGCAUAAUCCAAUUAUGUGGGGGUAAGACAUGACACCAGCCAACUAUCCAUCCAGGAUGUUUUUCAUGUACAGUUAUAUGAGAUGAUUUAUAAGUAUUAAAAUUCAAUAUGUUAUACCAUGUUAUGUUAAAUUAUGUUUUUCCCAGAUAUGAUGUAGACAAUUUUAUCAAAUAUGAUUUAUGUAUUGUUAUACGUAUAACACAAAAAUACUCAUGUUGCCACAUACUGAUAUUAGUUUAUUUCCCUUACUGAGAGGUGUCUCAACCCAGCUAUGUAAACAUUUCAGAAGCCCCAUAUAGAAGAGCGGAUAGAGUUCCGCAGCGUUAGAGUUCGAAUGUUCUACCUUGUCUGAAGAGUAAGUCAUUUUGCUAGGGUCUGACGGAUUUUUGGGUGGUGAUCCUAUGACACCUUUUGGAUAUUCUGAGAUCCGUGUACGUAUAUGACAGUUGUAGUAAAACUCUGGUAUUAUGUUGGUUGGAUGAUUGGAUAUGGAUAUGUUUUUACAUUUUUCGCUGCUUAGGUAUUAGUGUUGUAUUUCAAGUAUAUCCAUGGUUCCCAUGGGUCUAGGUUGGCUAUGAUUUUUCGGAAUUAUUAUAUUAAUUAUAAUUAUGGAAAAAAUUGGUUAAAAAUGGGCAGUUUGUUACAGUUUGGUAUCAGAGUUUAGGUUGCUAAACUCUGUAGACUUUAAAGUACAAUGGAAACAAUACCAAAGUAUAGGGAAAGGAUUUGAGGUUUUGUUUUAUAGGUUAGAGACAGGACUUCCGUGGUGGUUUUUGUGUUUUUCUUGGAGUGACAAUUUCAAGAAAGUCAUAGUAAACUAUUGCCGGGUUGUGUUUCUAAAGUGUGGGACUGAAUCUUGAAAUAAGAUAAGGAUGUCAAGAUAGGGGAUCGUGGUUAGCUGUGUAAGUUAUAAGGAUAGGGUCUCUAAGCCAUGCUUUUUGUCUUUUCAGGAUGGACCCUAGAGGAGGUAGUGCCCAUACGAGCAGUAGUGACGGUGCAGGGCCCUCAAGUGCAGGCAAAGCUGAUUCUGAUGCGGUAUUACGUAGUGUGGCUUAGUAGGUUAUGACUAAGAUUGCUAGGAGCUCCAGAGAGUAGGGAGGUCCAUCUGCAGGCCAUGGGUGUACGAUAGAAAAAUUUACCAAGAUGAAUCCUCCGGUAUUUUUAGGAAGAGUUGAUCCUACAGCUGCCGAGAAUGGGAUGCUGGCGAUCGAGAAAGUUUUGACGGUAUUACAGUAUACGGAGGAGUAGAGGGUUUUCUUCGCCACCUAUAAACUGACAGGGGAGGCUAAGAGGCGGUGGAUUACUUUGAGACUUUUGGAGCAGCAGAGGAUGACGCCGAUAACUAUGACAUGGGACCGAUUUAAAGAAUUAUUUUUUAACAAAUAUUUCUUAGCCACUGUCAGGGAAGCUAAAGUGGAAGAGUUCCUGAAUCUGAAGUAGAGACAGCAGUCGGUCUAGUAGUACGCAGCGAGGUUUAUAGAGCUUUCCCAUUUCACUCCAUAUAUUGUUCCUGAUAAAAUAAAGAAGGUGUGGCAAUUUGAAAAAGGAUUGAGGUGAGGAAUAUACAAGCAGGUGGUAGUGUUGAAGAUACAUGAUUUUGUUGAGUUAGAGGAUAGAGCAGCCUUGGACGAGGCUAGUGAGUGCAUGGAUGCAGAGGAGUAGGGAUAGAAUAAGAGAUCUACACCUUCAGGCUUCUAGCAGGGAGUUAGGCAGGGUCAGUGGAGGAGAGGAAACUGUGGCAGAGGACAGAGGCAGGAGACUGGAGGCCUUAAGUUUUAGGCGAUGCAGAAUUUUUUAGUCUAUUAGACUUGUGGAAAGAGACACUUGGGAGUGUCGAGUGGGGAGAGCUGUCUACUAUCACUGCGGUAGGCAUGGACAUCUGGUGCGAGAUUGCCCCACACCACCUGACACCGCUCCUGCUCCCAGACCGUACCAGGGAGGCUAUCAGGCACGCCGUGGAGCCCAGUAGAUGAAUGUAGCUCCAACGAGGGUCUAUGCUUUGACGCCUGGAGAUGCUGAGAAAGUCGGCGAUGUGGUGACAAGCAUGAUUAACAUGUUUUCGUUUUAAGUUAUUGUAUUGUUUGAUUUAUGAGCCACACACUCAUUUGUGUCUAUGAGAUGUAUUAUAUUAUGUGGGGCAAAAACAUAGUUGUUAGGCACCGAACUGUUAUUAACAACACCGACAAUGUCAGUAGUGAGAUGUAGUAGGUUGCUCUGAGGCUGUCCAGUUGAUAUUCAGGAUAAAGUUUUGUCAGCUAACUUGAUAGUAUUGGACAUGCAUAGGUUCGAUGUAAUUUUUGGUAUGGACUAGUUGGCAGCCAAUUACGCCAGUAUAGACUGUCGUUUGAAAGAAGUAAUAUUCAGACCUCUGAGAAGAUCAGAAUUCAGGUUUAUAGGGUCGCGUGUGCAAUCCCCGCCUCAGUUAGUAUCAACCAUACAGGCAAGGAGACUAUUCCUAGAUGGUUGUCAGGGGUUUAUAACUUUUGUAAAAGAGGUGUCAGAAAAUGAAUUGAAGUUGGGCAAUACAUUGGUUAAGGAAUGUCUAGACGUUUUUUCUAGAAAAUCAACCUGGGUUACCUCUUGACUGCAGGAUAAAUUUCGCUAUUGAUCUACUUCCAGGGAUGACAUCGAUCUCUAAAGUUCCUUCCAAAGGUUUUUUUUAUCAUCGCAUGUUUUAAUCAGAGUUCUUUUUGCAUGGUGUAUCUAGAAUUUUUACCAUUGUGUACCUAGGUUGAUUAUCAUUAGCUAUUGGAAUUUCGGUGAAAUACAUAAAAUCAUAAAAAAAAUAAAAAAAUUAGGAGAAAAUUCUAAAGAUAUUUUUUAUUUGAAUUUCACUAAUUGUCUUUUGUUAUUUCAAAAUUCAACAAUAUGUGGGAAAAUAUAAAAAAUCAAAAAAAUAGAAAAAACAAAAAAAUAAUAAUAUUUUGAGACCUAAAAACCAUUUUUUGACACCAUUUGAGUUCCAAAAACCUCCCAAACUAGUAUUUUCAUACUUAGAAAAAUCCUAUAAGAUUUUCAAAAUUUGGGAGUGUAUUUUCUUAAAUAUUAUCUUGAUUUUUUUUCCUAUGAUUGUAAUUAAAAAAGGGUAUGAGCUUUCAGGAUUUGCGCACCCUGGCUCUAAGGGAAUAUAUUUUAUAUAUAUAUAUAUAUAUAUAUGUGUGUGUGUGUGUGUGUGUGUGUGUGUGUGUGUGUGUAUGUGUGUGUGUGUGUGUAUUUUUAUACUAUUUAUUUAUUUAUUUAUUUAUUUUGCAUGCAUAUUUGUAAAUUCACUAAGGGAGUAAUUUUAAAGACUUUUUAAGUUAACUUAGGGAUUAAUUAGGUACCGUUUGUAAGAACCGGCGUGUAGGGGGUGCUCGUACCUUCCUCUCGCGUAACUGAACUCCCGAUCCCAACUCUAGUAACGCAGACCCAUUCUACCCUUAACUGGGUAGCAAUUAAGUGUUUUAACGACACUAAAAGGUUAGUGGCGACUUCAUUCCUGUUUUUCCCGAAAAUUUUAAACCACAUUUUUUAUUUCGCCACCCCGGGGCACACGCGUUCCGAGACGUCGCGACAGUUUGGCGACUUCGCUGGGGACUGUAGAGAGUCGAGCCAGUAAUUAAUUAGAAAUUAUCCCGAGUUCAAAUUUAAUAAAUCUUUUAGUUGCUCAUCAUUUUGUGAAUAUUAAUUGUAAAUAUUUUCUUUCCAAUUUUUAGAGAUAAGAUUAUUAAUGGUAAAUAUUUUCUUUCCAAAUUUGUAGAUAAGAAUAUUAAUGGUAAAUAUUUUCUUUCCAAAUUUUUAAUAUUAAUUGUAAAUAUUUUUCUUUCCAACUUUGUAGAUAAGAAUAUUAAUGGUAAACAUUUUCUUUCCAAAUUUUUAAUACUAAUUGUAAAUAUCUUCUUUCCAAAAUUUUUUAAGAAUAUUAAUUUUAAUUAUUUUAUUUUCAGCUUUUAGAUUAAGUGUGUUAAUUGUAAAUGUCUAGUUUCCAUAAGCAUGUGAUUAAUUGUAAAUAUUUUCCUUUGUUGCUUGAAUAAACAUGUGAUUAAAUAAGCAUAUGACAUGUAUGUGGGGUAGCGAGAUUAGACUAAACUGGAUUCACACACUUUCAUGCUCUAUACCUGGGCCUUCCCUUCUAGGAUUAGAUAGGAGUGUAAUAGUGUCAGUCCCUUCAUGGCAGAGCUUGAUGGGACUCGCGAAUCACUCCGCUCAGUGUGGGCUUUAUCUAGACCCCUAUGGGGGAGGAUUGAAGUUCAAUCUAGGAACCUUGUCAUCCAUAAGAGUUAGAGCCUACCCAUACGUACCUGUCCAUAGUUUUCCCCUAACUAGGAUAAAGCCAUGAAGAAACCCUAUAAAAUAGGUGUAUCUACCUUGGGUUGGGAUAAGAUCCUCAUCCUUCUUUAUGUGACUUAAUUUGUGUCUUUUGUAUAUAUGGUUGGUGUUGUGUUAUGCAUCUUGCAUCCAUUUGACACAUGCAUACUACUUAGCCAGAAUUCUGGAAAAUCCCAAUAAUGAGACCAUGGGCCAUCCUUUCAAAAAAUAAAGUACUUGGCUUAAGCGUUUUAAAAUAUGGGUCGGCCCAACCAUUUUCAAAUGACUCGAGCCCAAUUUUUUCUUUAAAACAAAUCUAGGCCCGACCUUUUUCUAAACAAAAAACUCGCCCUAGGCCUAAUUUUCAAAAAGGGUCAAACCCAUAUUUCAAAAGGGGGCUUCAGCCCCAUUACUUAAAAAUCCAGGCCAACAUUUUCAAAGUGAUCCAAGUCCAAUUCUCUUUAAACUAGGGUCUGAUCCCAUCAUAAAAUAGCUUGAAACCCAUAUUUUUAAAAUACUCGAGGUCCAAGUGCACAUUAAAGUCCACAAGCUUGCAUUGAAUAAAUCCAAUGGGUUGACUAGCCUAGGUCAACCCCUAACUCAGAUCAUAAUUUGAUCCUUCGUAGGAUCUAAGGUACAUGGACCGUCAUCAAGGAAAUGAAUGGUUGAGGGAAGAAUUGAAUUGAAAUUAUGGCCCAUCAAUGGUCGUUUUAAUCUUGAAAUCUUUCAUUAGUGGAAUUUUUUCUAGAAUUAUAGCAAAGUGGUUAUCUAGGUAGCAUUGUAUUCAUGUAUUUCAUGCACUACACGCAUAGCCAUGCAUGAUAGGCCACAUGCAUGUUCAUAUCCCUAUUUGCAUGUAUUUUUGCACUAGUUACACCCAUGCAUAAACAUCCAUUGCAUUACAUAAUCAUGCAUUCGAUUCUAAAAAGGAAGUUUUGGUUCACAACUCUCUCGUGGAAAGAAGCCGCCUGAAUAAUCAAAAACAAUAUUAAGACCACUAUGCACCCAUACAACACCAGGCGAAAGGCAAGAAAAAUGAGUGAACAACUGGAAAAUAGGGUCCUGGGUGUAAUGACCUAGCUAUUUAACUGGGUUUUUUUUAUAUAUAUAUAUACUAUAACAUUUAAAAUACUCUAAUACCACAUUGGAUUAAACCCAAUCAACAACCUAAGCAGCGAGAAGCGGAAAUCAAAUAUACAUAACCACGUAUAAUUAUAUACAAUACCAGAGUGCUAAAUUGUUUCCCAAAAUAUACAUAUAUAACUGUUCCCCAGAAAUAUCCUCAACUGGCUAGGGCUAUACAAAAUACUCCAAAAAAUACUCACUCUAAUAUUAGGGCAAUACUGAGGCCCCUCUAUUUGCGAACCUGAUCUGCUCGCCUAUUUGGAUCACCUGAAAAAUGUUAAAGUAAUUGGGAUGAGCCAAUGCUCAGUAAGACGAAAUAUGCUAUUGCUAGUGUCUGGAAAAUGAGUUACAAUACUAUGAAAAUUUGUUUCUAUAUAAUCAUGUAUAACUAGAUCUAUGAAUAAUAUACAAAAAUGGAAACCACCACUAAUUCUAUAUUGUUUAACAUAUAUGUAAUUUUAGGUUACUAAUGAAAAUACUUCUAAUGUAUAUAAGUAUAUUCUCUAUCUCUGCAAAUUUGUAUAUACAUAAUAAUAACUGAAAACUUCCCUGUGGAUAAUUGUGUGGCAUGAUUUAACCUCUCAUUACAGGGUUGUGCGGCCCGUAAGCAGGAUUUACCUUGGCUGACCGACCAAGGUAAACCACUAUACUCCCUCGAUCUGAUCUGCCCUCCUCAACCCAUAUCUGAUGGGGAGCCUGUCCACGUCGGGGCACUAUACGAUCAACUUACUACCACGUAUUAUCUGAAUAGGUGGUUGUACUCUGAACUGAAUAUCUGUGGCUACGGUACCGUGCUCUGCUGUAUGGUCUAAUAGGGUGAUCUAGUUAGACGAGCAUAUCAGGCUCGGUGGUAGAGAGGUUAUUUGCACUGCCUUGUCUGUAGGGUAAGUGUUAUCAGAAAGAUGUAUUUUUGGGUAGAUCUUAAGAGUCUUGAUAGAUGAUAUUGGAGAGUUAUGCUUUUGUGUAUAUAUAUUUUGGGGUGAUACUGAAUUCUGGUAUUGUGUAUAUGGUUGUAC